AUGCAAUGAUGACUGCUGAGUAAUAUGUAUGUAGAUGUUGUCCAAUGUCAAGUCUCUAUUCAAUCAUGUGAUGAUACAAUAAACAAUAAUUAGUUUAG